CUACGGGAUGCAGCAGUGGGGAAUAUUGGACAAUGGGGGAAACCCUGAUCCAGCAAUGCCGCGUGUGUGAAGAAGGCCUGCGGGUUGUAAAGCACUUUCGGUUGGGAGGACUGCUUCUAGCACUAAUAUUGUUGGAAGUUGACGUUACCUUCAGAAGAAGCACCGGCUAACUCCGUGCCAGCAGCCGCGGUAAUACGGAGGGUGCAAGCGUGAAUCGGAAUUACUGGGCGUAAAGCGCGCGUAGGCGGCUAGAUCAGGCGGGUGUGAAAGCCCCGGGCUUAACCUGGGAACUGCAUCCGAUACUGUCUAGCUUGAGUACAGGAGAGGAGAGUGGAAUUCCACAUGUAGCGGUGAAAUGCGUAGAUAUGUGGAGGAACACCAAUGGCGAAGGCAGCUCUCUGGCCUGAUACUGACGCUGAGGUGCGAAAGCGUGGGGAGCAAACAGGGUUAGAUACCCGUGUAGUC
rnacentral:rRNA from 1 species